rnacentral:rRNA from 1 species
CGUGGGUAACCUGCCCUGAUGAUUGGGACAACCCGAGGAAACUCGGGCUAAUACCAAAUGUGCCCCCUGGCCUCAAGGCCUCUGGGGAAAGGAAGCUUCGGCCUCCGCAUCGGGAUGGGCCCGCGGCCCAUUAGCUUGUUGGUGAGGUAAUGGCUCACCAAGGCUACGAUGGGCAGCUGGUCUGAGAGGACGAUCAGCCACACUGGGACUGAGACACGGCCCAG